rnacentral:rRNA from 1 species
GACGGACGCUGGCGGCGUGCUUAACACAUGCAAGUCGAGCGGUAAGGCUCCUUCGGGAGUACACGAGCGGCGAACGGGUGCGUAACACGUGAGUAAUCUGCCCUUCACUUCGGGAUAACCACCGGAAACGGUGGCUAAUACCGAAUACGACCAGUCUUCGCAUGAGGUGCUGGUGGAAAGUCUUUUCGGUGAAGGAUGUGCUCGCGGCCUAUCAGCUUGUUGGUGGGGUAAUGGCCUACCAAGGCUUCGACGGGUAGCCGGCCUGAGAGGGUGACCGGCCAGACUGGGACUGAGACACGGCCCAGACUCCUACGGGAGGCAGCAGUGGGGAAUAUUGGACAAUGGGCGAAAGCCUGAUCCAGCAACGCCGCGUGAGGGAUGACGGCCUUCGGGUUGUAAACCUCGUUCAGUACCGACGAAGCGCCCUGUCGGGUGGUGACGGUAGGUACAGAAGAAGGACCGGCCAACUACGUG